rnacentral:rRNA from 1 species
GUCUACGGCCAUACCACCCUGAACGCGCCCGAUCUCGUCUGAUCUCGGAAGCUAAGCAGGGUCGGGCCUGGUUAGUACUUGGAUGGGAGACCGCCUGAAUACCGGAAUAGGCU